ensembl:lincRNA
CAGGGGGAUAGGGUGCCAGCAUUCCAUUUGGAACUGCCAGGCAAGGUAGUAAGGGCACCAGAGGAAAACCCCAGAAGAUGCUGCUUCUCCUGCUCAGCUGUCUCCUGCCCACCACCAAUGGGAAAAACUGCCUCCAGUGCUGGCAAGAGCUGCCUGCAUUAAUAGAUUAUGACCUGCAGAUUCUUUGGGGCACUCCAGGGCCACCUGCAGAGCUCUCCCAAAGCCUCCAUUCCCUAUUUAUGGACAAUCAUUCUUCUCCUGAAAACUCGUACCUUGGUCAAGAUCAUUUGGAGGAAGCAGCAGGAACAUUAUUCACUCACAUAGAUAAAGCCAUUAAGAAGCUUCGAGAUGAUAAACCAUCACUUUUGGAAGAGGUUCGUGUCCUGAAGCAGCAAUUUUCCAAGCAGCUGGAGGAUGUAUCUGAGGGUCUGAAGGACAAGGCCUGCAAUGAGUCCUGUGACAUCCGCUCCACAUUGGAGGUAAUCAGUUGCACCACAUGCCAGAAACACUUCCUGACCUGCCAAGACCCCGAUCUCUGCCCAGCAUGGACUGGGAAGAACUUCAUGUGGGCUAUGGGCAUCGGCUUUGCUCUGCCCCUGGCGAUCCUAGCUGGAGGUGGAUGUUACAUUUUCUGGCUCAAGAAGAAGAAAAAGGAGGAGGAGGAGGAGGAGGAGGCAAAAAAGGUCCUGGGACAUCCAGGAUCCCCAAGGAGAGAAAGCUGUGUCUGCCUGGGGGUAGAAAGUUUAGAGGCCCCAAGUUUGGUUCCCUGGGCCUGGUUUUCAAAGGAGUGUAGGAUCGAGGGCUGGGACUCAGGAGAGCCACCAUCAGCUCCCAGUGUGAACAGACCCAUCCAGGGCCAGGCACCCAGGACAGAGCAGGAGCAAAGCCUUCAAUCUCCAACUGACCCACAAAGUGCUCCCUGCCCAUAGCUGUCUAUCAUCCCUCUGCAGCACCCACCUCUAUCCUUCACCACCCUGCUGCCUGACUGCACAGACUGCCAACAAUCCCCCUGGCCUUCUGCUCCUGGUUGGGUUUGGCCAGCUGGAGGUCAGAGGCAGAAGCAGGCCUGCUUCUCCUCUCUUGGCAGGGUCCCAGCUGGCCACUUGUCACCUUCAACUGAACAAAGGUCCCAGCUACUGUCAGGAAGCUCUCUUACCUCUGGGUUCUGGUAACUCUCCCUCUCCCAACCCCUCCAACCUGGGGUGGUAACAGCUCUGAAGUUCUGAGGCCCAGGAAACUGCAUUCACUCUUGAGGUUUCUCUACACCCAUGCUUUGUAAAUGUCUUUUAUUAAAACACCCUCCUCAUACUCUGAUGCACUGUGCCAUCCGCUUCCUGCUGGACCCUGCAUGAAUACAGCCGGCACUAUGAUCCUCCCCACAUGGGCCCACAAAGACUGUCCCACAUCCUCAACCUCUUCCCACCAGCCCAACACCCUUCCCUUUCAGGAAGAUCUCUCUCCUAGUCCCAGAAGUGGUAACUCCACAGAAUCACACUCGCCUCUCCUGAUUUCAACACCAGAGUUGAGGGCAGCAAUGGCCUGGGCCCCUUGAGACGUUCCUGUGUCUGGGUGUGGAAGGCAGGAAGUGCAAGUGUUAGUGGCUCAGUCAUGUCCGACUAUUUGCAACCCCACGGUCUAUAGCCAGGAGAGGGUCUUUGGACCAUAGGUGUGGAAGAGAAGAGGUAAGAGGCCUGUUGGAGGCCCCAGCAAAGGCAGGGACUAGCAGAACCCCCCACCCUGAGAAAACAGGUUCCAAGUCACAUCAGUAGCAGACCUCACCUGGGAACACCCAAGUUGCCAGAGGAUCACAGGUGCUGCCAGCAGUGAACUUUACCAGCUCUGCC